rnacentral:rRNA from 1 species
UACAGAGGUCUCAAGCGUUGUUCGGAUUCAUUGGGCGUAAAGGGUGCGUAGGUGGCGUGGUAAGUCAGAUGUGAAAGCCCGGGGCUCAACCUCGGAAUUGCAUCCGAUACUGCCGUGCUAGAGUACUGAAGAGGUGACUAGAAUUCUCGGUGUAGCAGUGAAAUGCGUAGAUAUCGAGAGGAAUACCAACGGCGAAGGCAGGUCACUGGGCAGUUACUGACACUGAGGCACGAAGGCCAGGGGAGCAAACGGG